rnacentral:rRNA from 1 species
GACGAACGCUGGCGGCGUGCUUAACACAUGCAAGUCGAACGGAAAGGCCCUGCUUUUGUGGGGUGCUCGAGUGGCGAACGGGUGAGUAACACGUGAGUAACAUGCCCUUGACUUUGGGAUAACUUCAGGAAACUGGGGCUAAUACCGGAUAGGAGCUCCUGCUGCAUGGUGGGGGUUGGAAAGUUUCGGCGGUUGGGGAUGGACUCGCGGCUUAUCAGCUUGUUGGUGGGGUAGUGGCUUACCAAGGCUUUGACGGGUAGCCGGCCUGAGAGGGUGACCGGCCACAUUGCGACUGAGAUACGGCCCAGACUCCUACGGGAGGCAGCAGUGGGGAAUAUUGCACAAUGGGCGGAAGCCUGAUGCAGCAACGCCGCGUGCGGGAUGACGGCCUUCGGGUUGUAAACCGCUUUCGCCUGUGACGAAGCGUGAGUGACGGUAAUGGGUAAAGAAGCACCGGCUAACUACGUG